GACUAAUUAAACAGUUUUGAUUUGAAAUCAAGUACCGAAGCGGUGAUAGACGCUUAUUAGCCU
rnacentral:tRNA from 1 species